rnacentral:rRNA from 1 species
UACGUAGGGACCAAGCGUUGUUCGGAUUUACUGGGCGUAAAGGGCGCGUAGGCGGCGUGUUAAGUCACUUGUGAAAUCUCUAAGCUUAACUUAGAACGGUCAAGUGAUACUGAUGUGCUAGAGUGCAGAAGGGGCAACCGGAAUUCUUGGUGUAGCGGUGAAAUGCGUAGAUAUCAAGAGGAACACCUGAGGUGAAGACGGGUUGCUGGGCUGACACUGACGCUGAGGCGCGAAAGCUAGGGUAGAAAACGGG